AACUGUUUUUCUGGUUAUUUCCUCAGGGACGAAAAGGAAAAUUCAGAGGGAGCGAGAAUAAUAAAUGCAAAUUAUGAAUCCUUUUACCAAACAUCGGCAAGAGGAAGUUCACAGUCUUCAAGGCACCAAAUUACACCAUUGAUCCGAACCCAAAAUGGCUCCAUGUCUGGCAUUUUCAGAGGCCUUUUCCAAGUCAAUGUCAUCCUAUUGGCCUCAAACUAAAAGAGACAAAUAGGACUGGAAUAAGGUAUCUGCCUCAUUAUGAGGCACCACAGAUCAGAGCUUAAAUAGUUUAGACUGAUUCACAGACCAACAAAAUAGCGCUAGGGCUUCAGUUCGAUAAAACUCAGCCUGUAGCCUCACAAAGUGCAUCUUACAUUAUGAGAAAAGUUGGACACUCAAAGAUGAUCAUGGUACUACCAUGUCCAAAACACUGUUAGUACUUUUUUGUUUGUAAAAAUUAGACUGGAAAUGUACCUUAAUUUUUGUUUUCAUAGUCAUAAUGAUUUAUUCCUAUAGCUUGCUUCUAAGUUAAAUGCAUUGACGUUUAAGGACUUUAACAUUAAUAGAUGUUGUUAGCACCUGCAGUGUAUUCAUACUUUACAUCUGAAAUGCUAACCAUAGAAAAGUGCUUUAGCAGGGUCAUAACCAAAGCCUUCUCUUGCAGGUAAAGAUGGAGUGGUUGCCUUGCUGUUGUGCUGGUAUCAGACAUGGGCUCUUCAUCAGAUGACUAAUGGAGUUGUGCAGCUAACCAGGAGGCCCAAGGCUGUUUGUUAGCUCCUAACAAGGUGAACCAGCUCCUACGGAACAGCACACUAGCGCUGAAGGAUUUAUUAUAGAUCUGCGUGUCCGCAGGCCAUGAGCGGCAGUGCUGGUCUCAUUGUAGUGGGCUCACCACACUAGCAGAGGGUUUAGAUCAUUAUUGCCUCAUUGUUUUGAUACAAUUUUGGAGAGCGGAUGAUGGAUGGAUGGAUAAUCGGAUGAGUAAAGGAGUUUUGGUAGCCUAGCACAGGAGGGUAAUGGAUGGACUGCAAAAACACAUGGAAAAGAUGAGGAAAAGUGAGUUUUGAACAUUUUAAGAAGGAAUUUGGAAAUAGUUUUCAGUUUUUUUUUUUUUUAAUGUUGAAUUUUCACAUUUAAUAUGUGCAAAUUAAACCUUUAAAAAUAGAAGAAAAAUAAGUUAAUGCACAUACAAAUGUGUAUAUGUAUAUAUAUAAACAAAUAUAUAUACAUACACACACACUGUAUAUAUAUAUUGAUGUUUGUUAAAGUUUAAAUGGUACAUUUUUAAAUGUACAAAUUUAACAUUAAAAAAUGAUAAAAACAUGAAGAUAUUUAAACAAAUAAAUAAAUU
ensembl:lncRNA